GCCCGUGGCCGUGAGCGCGUCGGAACCACCCGGUCCCAUCCCGAACCCGGUCGUGACCCGGCGCAGCGCCGGAGAGUACUGUGGGGGCGACUCCAUGGGAGGCGAGGCCGUCGCGGGCA
rnacentral:rRNA from 1 species